rnacentral:rRNA from 1 species
UGGGGAAUUUUGGACAAUGGGCGCAAGCCUGAUCCAGCCAUGCCGCGUGAGUGAAGAAGGCCUUCGGGUUGUAAAGCUCUUUCGGCCGGGACGAAAUCGCACUUUCUAAUACAAGGUGUGGAUGACGGUACCGGAAGAAGAAGGACCGGCUAACUACGUGCCAGCAGCCGCGGUAAUACGUAGGGUCCGAGCGUUAAUCGGAAUUACUGGGCGUAAAGCGUGCGCAGGUGGUUUUGUAAGCCAGAUGUGAAAUCCCCGGGCUUAACCUGGGAACUGCAUUUGGGACUGCAAGGCUAGAGUACGGCAGAGGGAGGUGGAAUUCCACGUGUAGCAGUGAAAUGCGUAGAGAUGUGGAGGAACACCGAUGGCGAAGGCAGCCUCCUGGGCUAGUACUGACGCU